rnacentral:lncRNA from 1 species
GCCUUUGUUAGUCUUGUAUUAUUUUAAUUUUAGUUUCUUGUGUACAAUUUGGAAAUUAGUAUGGCGUUCAUUAUCACUGAACUAGUAUAUAUUUGUUUAGGGGCCAGCUGAAGGACGCCUCCGGGUGGGGGAAUUUCUCGCUACAUUGAAGACCUGUUGGUGACCUUCUGCUGGUGUUUUUUUUUUAUGGUCGGGUUGUUGUCUCUUUGGCACAUUCCCCAUUUCCAUUCUCAAUUUUAUU